AUCCGGGAGGAACACCAGUGGCGAAGGCGGCCUCCUGGACCACUCCUGACACUCAGACGCGAAAGCUAGGGUAGCAAACGGGAUUAGAGACCCCGGUAGUCCUAGCCCUAAACGAUGUAGACUUGGCGUCGGUGGUUUAAUCGCCAUCGGUGUCGUAGCUAACGCGAUAAGUCUACCGCCUGGGGACUACGGCCGCAAGGUUAAAACUCAAAGGAAUUGACGGGUCCCCGCACAAGCAGCGGAGCGUGUGGUUUAAUUCGAUGCUACACGAAGAACCUUACCUGGGUUUGACAUAGAGGUAGUAGGGAAGCGAAAGCGGACCGACCCUUCGGGGAGCCUCUACAGGUGUUGCAUGGCUGUCGUCAGCUCGUGUCGUGAGAUGUUCGGUUAAGUCCGCUAACGAGCGCAACCCUCGCUGUGUGUUACAAGUGUCACACGGUACUGCCGAUAUUAAGUCA
rnacentral:rRNA from 1 species